GACGAACGCUGGCGGCGUGCCUAAUACAUGCAAGUUGAGCGCUGAAGGUUGGUACUUGUACCAACUGGAUGAGCAGCGAACGGGUGAGUAACGCGUGGGGAAUCUGCCUUUGAGCGGGGGACAACAUUUGGAAACGAAUGCUAAUACCGCAUAAAAACUUUAAACACAAGUUUUAAGUUUGAAAGAUGCAAUUGCAUCACUCAAAGAUGAUCCCACGUUGUAUUAGCUAGUUGGUGAGGUAAAGGCUCACCAAGGCGAUGAUACAUAGCCGACCUGAGAGGGUGAUCGGCCACAUUGGGACUGAGACACGGCCCAAACUCCUACGGGAGGCAGCAGUAGGGAAUCUUCGGCAAUGGACGAAAGUCUGACCGAGCAACGCCGCGUGAGUGAAGAAGGGUUUCGGAUCGUAAAACUCUGUUGGUAGAGAAGAACGUUGGUGAGAGUGGAAAGCUCAUCAAGUGACGGUAACUACCCAGAAAGGGACGGCUAACUACGUG
rnacentral:rRNA from 1 species